CCUGUAUGGCCACUACACAGGUCGUUUGUUCCUCAGAACUGCAGAUGCCCUGUGUGACUCCAGAAGCGGUUAGAAGGAUCAGGCGUGGCUAUCUCCAUUUGCAGCUGAGGUGGCCAAGAGAUAAGAGUUGCUUAAGGCCAUAGUUAGCAAACAACAAAACGGGUUUCCACACAGAGAUCGGUCUCUGAGCCUGACCAUCCACUUACUGCAGGAGAACGAAAUUCUUGACAUUUUGGUUUAUCUGGUAGCUUCAAAGGUAAAAACGGACAUUUUCUAAGAAGGCUGCCAUUCGCUUGUUUUGCAAUUGAAGCAGAGUGAGUUUGCUACAGCAGAGGGACUUUGCAUUGGAUUUUGAAGUUUGUUGCGUUUCUGAAACACGGUCUUACUGUGUAGGUCAAGCUAGCCUUGAACUCCCUUCAGGUCUCUCACCUAGUUCUGGGAUUGCAGGCCUAGACCACCAUGCCCUCCACUCUUCAUUUAAAUGGUUUUUAAAAUCCCCUACUAUUGUUUGUGCACUGAUGGAAUUUGAGGUUUUGUAAUAGAAGUCGUGUUGUCCGAGCGGCGCCUUCCAGUUCCCGGUUU
rnacentral:lncRNA from 1 species